CUCGUGGAUUAGAUGCUAUCGACCUCAAUGAUGAUGAUAUUGAAGAUCGGAGGCAAGAUAGUAUUCAACACUGGCAUUGAAAGAGGAUGAAAUGCUGAUCAGUGCAUGGUUAUAUAUUUCAACUGACCCUAUAGUUGGUACCGAUCAAAAGGGGGAAACAUUUUGGAGUCGAAUUCAUAGCUACUGUGUAGAAUUUUGCUCCGACAUGACAAGGGGGUUGUUGCAUGUAAGAAACGAUGGUAUAAGAUCAAUAAGGCUGUUGCACAAUUUGCUGGUUGCUACGAUCAAGCUAGUCGAAAUAUAAGGAGUGGUUCAAACGCUGAUGAUAUAAAGGAGUUGGCCUAUAAACUUUAUUCCACAAAUUAUGGAAAGGGAAAGGGAAAUGGAUAUGCAAAUACUUAAUGCUGACACGUCUACAAUGAGUGAAAAAUGACGAGCUCUUCAUGAGAUUGCAUGUGA